rnacentral:lncRNA from 1 species
CUUCAAAUUCAACACCAACUACCUUGAGCCGUGGUCCAAGGGCAAGCGAUCCAAGCGCUCCCGCAGCCAUGAUCAGCCGCCCACGGAGGAAGAGUAUCUUGCUCUCUGUCUCAUCAUGCUCGCUCGAGGUGGCGCCGCCACCUCCACCUCCGCGUCGCCACCGCAGCCGCAGCCGCAAUCCCGCCUUCCGACGGAAUCUUCUAAGCUGGUUUACAAGUGCUCGGUUUGUAGCAAAGCGUUUGGAUCCUACCAAGCCUUGGGCGGCCACAAGGCCAGCCACCGCAAGCUCAACUCCGGCACCGGCGGAGACGAGCACUCCACCACCUCCGCCUCCGUGGUGACCUCGACGACGACCUCCGGCAGCGGGAGAGUCCACGAGUGCUCCAUCUGCCACAAGUGCUUCCCCACCGGCCAAGCCUUGGGAGGACACAAGCGCUGCCACUACGAAGGCGGAGCUCCCAGCGCCGUCGGCGGCGCCGCUGCCACCUCUUCGGAGGGCGUGGGGUCCACUGUUAGCCACCGGGACUUCGACCUGAACCUGCCGGCGUUCCCUGAGU